CCUACGGGAGGCAGCAGUGGGGAAUAUUGGACAAUGGGGGCAACCCUGAUCCAGCCAUGCCGCGUGUGUGAAGAAGGCCCUCGGGUUGUAAAGCACUUUCAGUGAGGAAGAACGCCUGGUGGUUAAUACCCAUCAGGAAAGACAUCACUCACAGAAGAAGCACCGGCUAACUCCGUGCCAGCAGCCGCGGUAAUACGGAGGGUGCGAGCGUUAAUCGGAAUUACUGGGCGUAAAGCGCGCGUAGGUGGCUUGAUAAGCCGGUUGUGAAAGCCCCGGGCUCAACCUGGGAACGGCAUCCGGAACUGUCAAGCUAGAGUGCAGGAGAGGAAGGUAGAAUUCCCGGUGUAGCGGUGAAAUGCGUAGAGAUCGGGAGGAAUACCAGUGGCGAAGGCGGCCUUCUGGACUGAAACUGACACUCAGGUGCGAAAGCGUGGGUAGCAAACAGGAUUAGAUACCCUAGUAGUC
rnacentral:rRNA from 1 species